rnacentral:rRNA from 1 species
AUGUGCGUUCAUACCAGCAAUAAUGUAUCGGAUUCCAUCAAAAUUCUGAAGAUAAGCGUGCUUGGACGAGAAUGGUACUUAUUGAUAUGUCACAUAUG